rnacentral:rRNA from 1 species
UACGUAGGGUGCAAGCGUUAAUCGGAAUUACUGGGCGUAAAGCGUGCGCAGGCGGUUUUGUAAGCCAGAUGUGAAAGCCCCGGGCUCAACCUGGGAACUGCAUUUGGGACUGCAAGGCUGGAGUACGGCAGAGGGAGGUGGAAUUCCACGUGUAGCAGUGAAAUUCGUAGAUAUUGGGUGGAACACCGGUGGCGAAAGCGGCUCUCUGGUCCGGACCUGACGCUGAGGCGCGAAAGCGUGGGGAGCAAACAGG